AUUGAACGCUGGCGGCAUGCCUUACACAUGCAAGUCGAACGGCAGCACGGACUUCGGUCUGGUGGCGAGUGGCGAACGGGUGAGUAAUAUAUCGGAACAUACCUUGUAGUGGGGGAUAACUAUCCGAAAGGAUAGCUAAUACCGCAUACGCUCUAAGGAGGAAAGUGGGGGAUCGCAAGACCUCAUGCUAUAAGAGUGGCCGAUAUCUGAUUAGCUAGUUGGUGAGGUAAAGGCUCACCAAGGCGACGAUCAGUAGCUGGUCUGAGAGGACGACCAGCCACACUGGAACUGAGAAACGGUCCAGACUCCUACGGGAGGCAGCAGUGGGGAAUUUUGGACAAUGGGGGCAACCCUGAUCCAGCAAUGCCGCGUGAGUGAAGAAGGCCUUCGGGUUGUAAAGCUCUUUUGUCAGGGAAGAAACGGUUGUGGCUAAUAUCCAUGGCUAAUGACGGUACCUGAAGAAUAAGCACCGGCUAACUACGUGCCAGCAGCCGCCGUAAGAC
rnacentral:rRNA from 1 species